GAUGAACGCUGGCGGCGUGCCUAAUACAUGCAAGUCGAGCGAACGGACGAGAAGCUUGCUUCUCUGAUGUUAGCGGCUGACGGGUGAGUAACACGUGGAUAACCUACCUAUAAGACUGGGAUAACUUCGGGAAACCGGAGCUAAUACCGGAUAAUAUUUUGAACCGCAUGGUUCAAAAGUGAAAGACGGUCUUGCUGUCACUUAUAGAUGGAUCCGGGCUGCAUUAGCUAGUUGGUAAGGUAACGGCUUACCAAGGCAACGAUGCAUAGCCGAUCUGAGAGGGUGAUCAGCCACACUGGAACUGAGACACGGUCCAGACUCCUACGGGAGGCAGCAGUAGGGAAUCUUCCGCAAUGGGCGAAAGCCUGAUGCAGCAACGCCGCGUGAGUGAUGAAGGUCUUCGGAUCGUAAAACUCUGUUAUUAGGGAAGAACAUAUGUGUAAGUAACUGUGCACAUCUUGACGGUACCUAAUCAGAAAGCCACGGCUAACUACGUG
rnacentral:rRNA from 1 species